rnacentral:rRNA from 1 species
AGUGAACGCUGGCGGUAGGCCUAACACAUGCAAGUCGAACGAAGCCUUCGGGCUUAGUGGCGGACGGGUGAGUAACACGUGGGAACGUACCUUUUGGUUCGGAACAACUCAGGGAAACUUGAGCUAAUAACGGAUGAGCCCUCAGGGGGAAAGAUUUAUCGCCGAAAGAGCGGCCCGCGUUAGAUUAGCCAGUUGGUGAGGUAAAGGCUCACCAAGGCAACGAUCUAUAGCUGAUCUGAGAGGAUGAUCAGCCACACUGGGACUGAGACACGGCCCAGACUCCUACAGGAGGCAGCAGUGGGGAAUCUUGCGCAAUGGGCGAAAGCCUGACGCAGCCAUGCCGCGUGAAUGAUGAAGGUCUUAGGAUUGUAAAAUUCUUUUACCAGGGACGAUAAUGACGGUACCUGGAGAAAAAGCCCCGGCUAACUUCGUGCCAGCCGCCGCCGUAAUAC